GUCGAUUCUAUAGAGGUACAUGAGUUGACGGUCUUCCGCGAUUCAACUAUGAAGGGUAUGUUCUCUUCUUCCCUUAUCCAUGAGUAUAACUGUUCUUUCAAUCUAAUCGUAUCCCCCCCCCCAAUUCAUAUUUAUAAACGUUUCCACAUGGUAGUUAGUACUUUUGUAUGAAGAAAUCACAGUCAUCGGUUCGAACUCAGUGGUAGUAGGCGGAACACAGAUAGGUGUGCUACUGCUUGCUGGUUGCUCAAAUUUGUUGUCAGUUUAGGGCCAUCAGUUCCCCAAAUCUAGUUGGAUCUUAUUGUUCCUAUUACCACAUGUUUUUAUGUGAAUAUUCAUUGGCGUGCUCGUGAAAUUUUUCGAUCACAUUUGCCUCUGGUUCUUGUGUGCGAAAAUUAUGUGCACACUCAUUCCUUUCUUUCGUCCGCGCCCACAACUCUGCACUAACCAUGACAUUGGUGUGUUUCUUGCAGAAUGGGGCGAUUACUUCAUCAUUAGAUAAAAGAAAUAGCACACCCUGCCAACAGGACGAUAAGACCGAAUCUUCCAGAGCUAUGCUCUGGUAAUGUGGUACUUCUACAAGUGAAACAUUAGUAGAAUAGCCAAAUCAAAUUUGCUGAACAUAUCUUUCAUUGCUGCAAGCUUUGCUUUGUUCUACUGUAGUUAAUUCCCCAGAAGAAAAAUUGUUUAACAAGUUUUAAGAUCUGCUUCAUAGUUCAUACAUACUAGACUUACUAGAACUAUUUUUUAUGUGAUCGAGCUGUGUCAUUUGUUUUAUUUGCCGCACCUCUGUACUUUACAUGAUUUUUCCUUCUGUUUAUGCCUACACGAACCAACUGCAACUUUUUUUUAGCUUUGGUUAAUUCUAGCCCAUGCCAUCAUUUCCCAGCUUAAAUCCAACAUUUACAAAUCCAAUCCCAUUAAGUAUUAAUGUAUUAUUCCUUACGAGUACUCCCUUGAUAGUUGGUACUUUUUGUCUCUGAAAUUCUAUUGACGAUCUUUUUUACUUUUGCAUGCAGGACUAUGCUCCUUAUGAAAUUAUCUAAAAUUCAGGCUUGAAUACUAUGUUAUGAUGCAUAAUCAUCUAAUCAUCUCAACACUUGGCUUCAUCCUUCUGGGGGUAUGACUACUAUUUGAUUAUCCAUGCACUAUGUUUCUUUCCUUUUGUCAAUUUCCCCCAAUUGCAACUUUUAUUGGACUAGUAAUUAGGAAAAGAUAUGUGCUCGUUGUUCCCAUCCUUGAUUUGUAAAGAGUAUCUAUAUGUCCUGGAAGCUUUAAAGUAAGUUUUGUGCAUGAAUGUUAUGAAUUGCAUGUGAAAGAAUGGUUAACAAGGAGUUAGCGGACGUGCCUGGAGAUAGAUUAUAUCUACUGUGUUUUCUUCUGGUUCACUUUGUUGAUCUUAAAAUUAAACUGCACUUGAUAUCCAAUUGAAUUUUCUCAUAGCAUUUCUAGUUCAUCUUAUUCAUGCUUUUUUUCUUGUUGCAAUCCAUGUUCUAACAACACUUUUAGAAUCAACAAUAUUGAUCUAGCGUACAUGUCCUGGAGUCAUCUUACCAAUUCCUGAUACAUGUAUUUGUAGUACCGUGUGAACUGUAAUUGUAGAUAUUGAUUGGAGUAGAUGCUUCUUAACAGGAUGUGCAAACGAGUUUGAGGCCCUAUGUCAUCCAGAAGGAACCAUGUUGUGAUUUCCCAUCUGCGCUAAUGCUCGAUCUUUCAAGUGUGACUGUCGGACGACAUUUAUUUUGGCUGAUGAUUCUGCUUGUACUUUGGCCAACCUGUGGUUAUCACUAUUUUUCCAACUGUUUCUGAACUAAGUCUGAUGCUUGCGCCUGUGCUCGCAUCUGAGAAAUUACACUGUUUGAGCAAUUGUGGUUUUAUUCUACAUAUAUGUACACACUGUUUCCAAAUGUGUAUAUGACAGUGGCCAUGUC
rnacentral:lncRNA from 1 species